GCAAUUGACACCUGAUCUGUUAUUCAGAUUCAACAAUGAUACCUGCUCUGACAACUUGCUAACAAGCUUCUAUGACAACAGUCAACAUUCUGAAUAGACCUUGGGUGACCCAUCCUGGAGAUCUAAAUAUUGUACUCCUGGCCUUAAUGGAUCCCGCACUGCAUCAUGCUGACUUGUAGUCCAACGGGGGAACCCAACCCAUAAAGGAGAUUAGGGACAUGAGGCCCCAGAACUACAAGUCCGAUGAGGUACUGCAGAGCAUCGUUUCGAAGGCAUGCUCAUCCAUUUACUGGAGUCAACUGGAACCAAGAGACCAAACCCAACAUUUGACACAUCUUAGACUGCUUGGAAAGAUUGUUUUUAUAUGCAGCAAAACCCAGCAAGCUUGACAUUUGAAACUCACUUAUUUCACUGCAAGGCAACAUCUUAUGCCUUUAUACAGGAUUUUUCCUGCUGUUUCUCAGCCCAGGAAUGCUUGCUUACUGUAGCUUCAGAUUGUUAUGAACUGACCGGCAUGAAAACAAUCUAUGCAGUAAGAAUAACUGGCAUGGAGACUGCCGAAAUCUGGAUUGUCCAGGUGGGUCAGCCUUAGAGGACAACUCCUGUACCCACCCACACACUGGCUUUGUUACUCCCAUAUAGUCAUAAGCAAAGAAGAGAUGAACAGCAGUUCUCAUCCUGACCACCUAAGCCACAGGAAAUAUAAGACUUAAAAAGACUGUUUGAUGUUUAGGUUUUUUUAAAUUAAUUCAUGUAUUAAAUAAUAAUGGCUGAAGUGCUGCAGCAUGCAUUAAUGUAAAACA